rnacentral:ribozyme from 1 species
UUGAGGGUAAGGGUGAAACGGUGCGGUAAGAGCGCACCAGUUUUUCAGGUGACUGGAAAAGCUAGGCAAACCCCGUCCGGUGCAAGACCAAAUAGGAAAACGCUUAAGGGUUGUCCGUCCAAUGUUUUCGGGUAGGUCGCUUGAGGUGUGCAGCAAUGUACAUCCCAGAUGAAUGAUCGUUGACCUGUUUGAGGUAACAAGAGCAGGUAACAGAAUUCGGCUUAUUAAUUGG